AGUGUUCUCACUACUAACUCCCGAUGUUACGUUGUCGGCCUCCAACGUAACGCUCCGCGAAGUUAGAAGUCAAACGCUUCGAUUUAACUCCACUUUCUAGAGUUAUCCAAGAUACCCAAUUCAGAUACUUUCGCUUACAAGUCAAAUAGACCUNAGAAGUGUUCUACACUACUAACUCCCGAUGUUACGUUGUCCGCCGCCAACGUAACGCUCCGCAAAAUUAGAAGUCAAACACUCCAAUUUAACUCAACUUUCUAGAGUUAUCCAAGAUACCCAAUUCAGAUACUUUCGCUCACAAGUCAAAUAGACCUUGUCUCUCACGAGCCUAUUUCCUAUAGUCCAACCGGCCUAAGGUCUGCUAGGUCCCCU
rnacentral:lncRNA from 1 species